GGGACUGAUGGGGCUGUUCUAUUGUUCCCCAGCAGAGUGUCUGCCCGGCAGACUAGAGAAACCCAGAGAAAGCCUGGGGACUCGGUGUCCAGGGACUCCAGUGUGGUCAGUGAUCAAAAGCCUGCUUUGGAGUGUCCACUCUGGAGGGCUCCGGCACUGUGACAGCACAGAGAAUUGAUUCCCGCAGAGCUGGGCUGAAAGGACCUGAGAAUUCUAGAUCUUCGUAUUACGCAGUGAUGCCGAGCUGAUUUGGAAGAAGGGGGACAGACAGGGUAAUAUUCCAUUGAUGGGAAGGGCAGCCAGAAAACAGCUGCAGGUGGAGAAUGGGAUGGAUUUCAAGAAUUCUCCAUGGCGGCAUGGGUUCACACAGGGGCCAGCUGGGUGAUGAAAUCGACUCAGAGGUCAGAUGUGUGCUCAUGUUCAGAGAAGACUUCAGAAAUUUCAGGGACUUUCAAAAUUGGUUCUGGAUGGAGGCAGAUCUGUUGACUGGGGAGAAGGGACUAAUGCGUGAUAAUUCUGAGAUCCAGGGGCCUCAGGCAGGACGGGAAACGAGGGUGCAGGCUCCUUCCUCUAGCUCUGCUUUGGGGAACCUGGAAGAGAAGUGCCUCUUCUUUUCUCAACAUACAGAGAUGAAGGACAUGCAGAAUAGGAUAGAUCUGACCCUUUUAGGGGCGUUAAGCUGUAACGUGCAGCAGUUCUCCAAACAUUGCCUGUCUACAAGGUCCUUUAUCUGCAUAGAUGUGAGUCAGCUCCCUCCAGGUCCAGGGAUUUAGAGCAAUUUGCAUAAGCACCACCCAGAAACCAGAUGUUUAUGUGGGCUUUAAUGUCUCCCCCCUUCCCUUUAUUCCUUGACUUCUUCUGCCUCCCAAGCUGCCUGCAAGUGGCCCAAGAGUCUCACAUUAGACACUCCUGAAUUCCCAGCCCUGUUUGUCUCCAGCUGGACCGGGAGGGCCUCACAGAGCUUGGCACGUCCAUGCAUGGGUCUAGCUAGAUUCAUACGGUGCCGAGGCAGCUGCAAAAAUGAAAAGUCGUAAGAAAAAUGAAUAUCUAAACUCCAAAGAAAGGAAAUAAACAUCAGGGUUCCAGAAGAGCGUAGGGGUAGUCAGAUCUGAAUUGCCUUGAAUUCUGUAAUGCGAGCCAAUGUGCAAGGGAACUAUAUAGGACAUUAAGGAAGAGGGGGUGUAGGCAAAGUAGAGGAUAUCGAAUGUUCCUGACACUAAGAAAUAAUAAAUGUGUGAGAUGAUGGAUAUGCUCAUUACACUGAUCUGAUCACUAUAUGGUAUGUGUAUUGAA